rnacentral:rRNA from 1 species
AUGGCCACCACCGCCGCUCUCUCCUGCUCCUGCUCCCCGUCCCCGUCGCCUUCCUCCACGCUCCUCCUCAGGCGAACCGUCUCCGCCUUCCACCGCCGACCUGCCCAUGCCGGCGUCCGCCGCCCCCGCCUCGCCCCCUUGCACGUGGUGGACGACUCCAAGGAGGUGGAGGCGAGGUCGGAGACGGACAGGCUGGUGGACGGCCUGAACUUCGGGGAGCUGUGCAACGACUUCGAGUGCAUAAGCAGCCCGUACGUGGAGUCCACGGCCAGGCAGAUCGCCAGGGACAUCCUCGAGAUCCGCCAGGACAACCGCGCCCUCAGCUGCUACGCCGUCGCCGUCAAAUACAAGGAUCCUCUCAGGUCAUUUGCCGGGCGUGAGAAGUACAAGAGGCCAUUGUGGAUCACUGAGGCCCUGGAAAAACCUACGACAGUCCAGGAAAUGUCAAUGCAAUCCACGAGCAGUCUGACCAUCAAGUGGACGCUGAGGGGGAAACCCAAGAACGCCUUCUUCGCGGCGGCGGGAGGGGAGCUGGUUGUCCGCAUCGACUCGCAGUUCGUCCUGAACCAGAUCAGUGGGCAGGUGCUGGAGCACGUCGAGUCGUGGGACCUCUCCGCGUCGUCCCCUCUCGCCCAGGCCUACUUCUGGUUUUCCAGGAGGGUUUACUCCACCGUGGAGGCCGGCAAGGACACGAUCGAGGCUGCCAAGGGCGUGGCGUCGCGGCUGAACAAAGACGAUAAUCUGGAGGUCUAUCCUGACCCCCUGGGAGAUCCCACGAAGUUCUUUACGAGGCCGGAUGAUCUGAACCAAGACGUGGUUCAGAUUGGGCUCUUCCUGGCCGUCCUCUACUUCAUUGUACAGUUCCUGAAAACGACUCUGUGA